rnacentral:lncRNA from 1 species
CCAUCAAGAAAGAGAGAGGAUGCUGAUGAUGUAGGUAUCAAAGAAGAUGGAAUGAAAGAGCUCACCUUCAAUGAUUCAAAUGAAUAAAAUAAAGAUCAGAUGGAUGAAAAAUAAGAGAAUGAAAGAAUCAAUGAUCAGAACAUUUAAGAACAACCUCCAGACAUAGGUAAUCUCCCAAGAGAAUAGAGGUAUGUUCAUAAUCACCCUAGAG